rnacentral:lncRNA from 1 species
AGGGGCAUCCACCACCUCUCUGGGCAACCUGGGCCAGUGUUUCACCACCCUCAGCAUAUAUCUCUGCUCUGGGGAGCUCAGCAGUUCUCCAGGCUCCAGGGAUUGACUUCAGUGAUGGGAAAGGUCCAUAUUUUCCAGGGUCUUUUACCAGCUGACACCUUUCAGACCAACAGCCACCAGAAAAGACUUGUUACACCAGCAGCUGGUGUCAGACAUGUCCAUGGGUCAAGGCAGGAGUGGGGAGGACAUGGAGAGUCCUGGCAGGACUUGCCAGGAUCAGGCCAAGUGAGGGGCACCCCACCAUGCUCAAGUGGGGCAAACAGAGACCCCGUGACAGGCUCCAGGAGCAGGGCGGGGGCAGAAGAGGAGGCAGGGAACGGAAAAGGGCUGCUCCUGUGACACGGCUGCGGAGGUGGAGCAGGAGGCAGGUCACAAACAGGCAGCACACGAGGAAGCGCUGGGACACCAGUGUGGCCAGGGUGGCUGCAGCAGCUCCAGGUGCAGCAGGACCUUCACUGGCUGGGGAAGGACCAGGAGCAGAGGCAACCAGAACUGCAGGGACCUCAUCAGGACCUGGAGAUCCUCUCGGCAGGAGUCUCCUUCCAGCCAGAAUAGCUCUUCAUUCUGCCAAGCUGGUUGGAUCCUGCCUGGUGCUUCCUUGGGAAGCCUCCCCGGUCUUCUGUGGGGGGUACCAUGGAAGUGGAAGCUUUACCAGCUUGGCACAGAUUUAACCCAAAUACCUAAUAAAAGGUUUGGAGGAAAUCCAUCCUGGGGAAGAAAAUUGCAGCACUUCACCAGCUUCAUUUGAUGAACUGGGGUUUAAUCAAACCCCAGAGUCUCCAGAGGUGCUACCUGCUGCUCCCUGGGGAGAAGACUUGAGCUCCAGUGAUGGCAAGAACAAGGAUUCAGGCUCAUUUUGAUGAGCUCUCUCUCCCCUGUGUCCCUCUCCUUGGAGCCAGGGAAGUGACGCUGGGGAGGAACUUGGCCCCUCUUGUUUGUUAUUACAGGAUAAAGUUACCCUUUAAAGCAGAGCCAGUGCUGUCAGGGCUGCAUAC